CAUAGAGCAUUGGAACCACCUGAUCCCUUCCCGAACUCAGAAGUGAAACGAUGCAUCGCCGAUGGUAGUGUGGGGUUUCCCCAUGUGAGAGUAGGUC
rnacentral:rRNA from 1 species